rnacentral:misc_RNA from 1 species
ACUUAUAAGCUAAUUGAAGUAUAUUACAAGUAGUGGUCAGUCAAAAUUGUAUGUGAACCUUUUCACUAUUUAAACAAGGGUGUCAUGUUUGGCUCAUGCUACUAACUAAGAUCCUGGCUGAACUUUUGUUGCUCAAGUUUCUCUACCAAGGCUUUCUUUUCAUCUUCUGGGAGAGAAUUAAACAUGAAGACAGAUUUAUCACCAAUGUCAUCCUUGAUGGGCUGGGUGAACUUCCUUCCAGCAAAUAUCACAAAGAGGGCCAUCCAUGAACCCAAUAGAGCAAGCUUUAGUCCAUCAUCCAUUAAACCUGUCAGGUGGCCAAGAAGAGCUGCAGGUAUAAUGAAUGUGAGAAUGCCAGCUUCCAGCUUCCCAUAGCAAAGGCCUUCUUUGAAGACAAGUCCUGUCAGCGCUGCAAACAAUGGGCCAACAAACCAGACAGCUGUUGGAUUAUCAACCACAUAAUGUAUCAAGUUUUCGUCAGCUGGUUUAGCAAGGAUUGUGUACGUUGCAAAAGACCCAACAACACCAAGUGCCCAUAAAGCUUGAAGGGUGCGUUUAAUCUCAGUUACAUAGAUGUGAAUCAAAACUAAUGAUAGCCCCAAUCCACCAGCUCCAAGAGUGUAUAGUAGAUCAAGAUUUUGCUUAAUUACUUCUCCCAACAGAGAGUCAUUGGGUAAAAAGGCAUCUGAUGCGGCAAUUACAAAUGCAGAAGCAGCAGUAACCAGCCCCAGUCUAUAUAAAAUCACCUCUCGAACGUCUGAUGGUUCAACCGUCCAGCUACCAUAAGCGCCUUUGUAAACGGUUGGUUGGAACGAAGGCUUAGAGCUAUCACCAACAGCCUUGCAUUUUAUCGAUCCAUUUCUAAGCUUAAACGACGCCGCCGAUAUGCUGGAUUUCACUGUUGAUUUUACCCGCCAACAGGCGAGUCUUGAAGGAGAGAUUAACG